rnacentral:rRNA from 1 species
UACGUAUGGUGCAAGCGUUGCUCGGAAUCACUGGGCGUAAAGGGUGCGUAGGCGGGUAUGUAAGUCUGUUGUGAAAUACCGCAGCUUAACUGCGGUGCUGCGACGGAAACUGCAUAUCUGGGGUCCCGGAGAGGCAAUCGGAAUUCUCGGUGUAGCGGUGAAAUGCGUAGAUAUCGAGAGGAACUCCAGUGACGAAGGUGGGUUGCUGGACCGACACUGACGCUGAGGCGCGAAAGCUAGGGGAGCAAACGGG